rnacentral:lncRNA from 1 species
UCAUAUAUCCAUGCUUCAGGCAAAAGGGAGUUGGAAAAUGUUGCAUUAUGGGUUCUUUGAAAAUCUGAGCUCAUACUGUAGGCAACUGCAAAAAUGUGAGCGGGUGUGCGAAUGACAGCUGUCCACUUACCCUGGCAGAAGGGAGGGUCUGGCAGCUGGAAGUCAGACCUCAGGAAAAAGUUAUUCAGCCAGCUGGGGGACAGACAUGGUCUACACCAGAAGAUCUGCACUGGGGAGUGCCCAGUGGGAGGUUUUCCAGAGAGGCAGCAACUGAGGUCCAGGAGAACAAGGGUCAGCUUUGUGUGUCCAUCAUGCCAGGACACCACAGCACUUGCCUACUACUCAAGUGAGUCUUUUCCUCCACCCCCUCCUUCCCGCUGUGCUGAACCUGCAAGUUCCCUAACCAGCAACUAGUGAGUGGAGCAGAAGAUGGGGUGAGAAGGACAGGAAAACUGGCCAUACCCCUUUGCCCACUGCAGGCCUGGGUGAGGGACUGGCGAAGUUUUAAUCAGGUGCGAGCUUGCACUUUGAUGAUUGCAGCUUGCAGCUUGAUGAUUUGAUUAUUACAUUAGAUAGAUCCUUUCAUGUUUGGGCAUGGCCUGAAAUUUUUUAACUUUCUAGAUCUGAUGGGGAAAGUUAUGAGACCUUGCCUGAGAAUUUGUCCCUGAGUGGGAAACAAGAGGGUCAAAGAGCAUAUUGAACCGGAACUGGGAGAAAGAAUAAAAGGACUCUUUUAUUCUGCCCUUUAGCUAGUCUGUUUUAUUCAAUCAGUUGGUUGUAAACAUUAUUACUAUGAAGGUAUUUGUUGCUUUGACUACUUUUUCAAGUUCAUUUUGUUCAUAAAAUCAGGAGGAAAAGAGGAGAUGCAAGAGAGAGAUUGGUGUCUUAUGACUGCAAAUGCCUUCAAUCCCCAAAGGCUAAGUAUGGAGGGGCAAGAGUAAGAGAGGCCAGCCUGGCAGUGGAGGCCACUUCCUGGACAACAAGGGACUUAACAGUGUCACUGUGCUAUUCUCCUUAUGAAUGCU